GAGGUGUGGGCAGGAGGGAGACGCGCCAGGCAGCAGCCAACGGGGUGGAGUCCCCGGGCCCAGCCUCCUGCGGGAGGGGGCUCUGCUGCCUCCAGGCCCGGGUCGCUCCUGCCUGGCCCCGGGGACCCCGUUCUUCCUCCGACUCCGACGACGGGCUCCUCCUGCCCGGACAUGCCCCGCCACAAGUGACCCGGGCCAGGCACCCCCGCCGCGUCCCCCUCUCUCUCUGCCCCCUCCCGGUGCCAGGCGCGCUUUUCCCCAGGCAGGACCGCGGUGGGGACUCACCUGCAGCAGGACCCCGACGACGACAAACUUGAAGGUCUUGUGGACCCGGAGCCGAGGGCUGGCUUCCCGCGCCGGCCUGGGUCCUGGGGCGCGCCCUGCCCGGGCCCGGGCACUGGGUCCGUGCUGUCCCAUGGAGGUCUCCAUGCCAGUGAAAUGUCACCUCAACUCCACCGUCCCUGGUGUCAGGCAAGCCCGAGGGACCCAAUUCUGCCUU
rnacentral:lncRNA from 10 species